AGAACGAACGCUGGCGGCAUGCCUAACACAUGCAAGUCGAACGAGACCUUCGGGUCUAGUGGCGCACGGGUGCGUAACGCGUGGGAACCUGCCCUUAGGUUCGGAAUAACAGUUGGAAACGACUGCUAAUACCGGAUAAUGUCUUCGGACCAAAGAUUUAUCGCCUAUGGAUGGGCCCGCGUUGGAUUAGCUAGUUGGUGGGGUAAAGGCCUACCAAGGCGACGAUCCAUAGCUGGUCUGAGAGGAUGAUCAGCCACACUGGGACUGAGACAUGGCCCAGACUCCUACGGGAGGCAGCAGUGGGGAAUAGUUGGACAAUGGGCGAAAGCCUGAUCCAGCAAUGCCGCGUGAGUGAUGAGGCGUUAGGUUGUAAAGCUCUUUACGUGGGAUAGGAUAAGUGACAGACCCAGAGAAGUAGCUCCGACUAACUCCG
rnacentral:rRNA from 1 species